AGCUUUAUGAAUUAAAUAUAAAGUUAUUUCUGCCCAGUGAUAUUUUAACGGCCGCAGUACCCUGACUGUGCUAAGGUAGCAUAAUAAAUUGACUUUUAAUUGAAGUCUAGUAUGAACGGGAAAAUGGGGGGGAUCUAUCUCAUUUCAAAUUAUAUUUAACUUAUUUAUAAGGUGAAAAUACCUUUAAUACAGAUAAAAGACGAGAAGACCCUUAGAAUUUUAAUUAAGUUGUAUUUUAUACUUUUUUUUUUGUUGGGGUGACAAAGUUAAUUUGAUAACUAACUGUUUUUUUUAGCCGGUACUAUUUACAUGAAAAGAAAAGUUACCUUAGGGAUAACAGCAUAAUUAUUUUUUUUAGAUUGUGACCUCGAUGUUGGACUAGGAGCUCUAUGAUAAGUAAUCAGAUGAGAGUGUUCUGUUCGAACAGGAAAUCCU
rnacentral:rRNA from 1 species